ncrna:unclassified sequences Transposase-1 RNA
UGUUAAGAGAUUACCUCUGUCGUUACCUGCUUUUUGCAGAUAUGGGAAUGUAAUUGAUGA